GGAUCAGGAUCCAGUUUAACGACAGAGACUUAUCCAGAUCAUAGACAAAAUUAUUAAAACAUAUUUAUCUGCAGACCUUUGAGACUUUAAAGAUGGCCAAAGACUCACCUGAAACGAUUUAUCAAAAUGUUCAUACAAUUCCAAAAGCGAGAAAAAAGGAACCAUCAAAAACUUGUUCCAGCCGUCUGUUGUGUUUGUGGAUAAUUAGCUUCCUCCUGGUGGGAAGCAUUGCAGUCAACAUCUGGAUGUGUCUUCAGAUGUACAAACAGAAAGCAACUUUCCAGGAGCUGGAGAUGAAGAUGGGAAAAGUACAAAAUUACAGUGAAGUGCUGACUCAUGAGAAUAAUGACCUGAACUUAUGGCUGAACUUUUUUCUGAAAUUCAAAAAUGUUCAAGUCUCAAAAUACUGCAAUGGUGAAAGUGAGUUGGUAUCAUGUGACCUUCCUGAAAACAAAACAAAUUACUCCUAAUUGAUGCUGAAAGUCGCUCCGUCUCCCUGUUUGUUUCACGUUGACAGAGUGUCAGCCGUGUCAGGAAGGAUGGGUUGAGUUUCAGAAAAAGUGCUAUCUGUUUAUUGAUGAACAACCUUGGAAAACCUGGAAGGAAAGCGAUGAGCUCUGCAAAAGCAAAUCCGCAGAUCUGGUCGUUAUUGAUCACCUGCAAGAACAGGUGAGCUCUAGGACGGCUUCAUCUUCUAAAAUUACAUUUUUAACUUUUAAAAUAUAAUUGUAAUGAUUUUAACCCAAAUGACUUUCAGGAGUUUCUCAGUAAACAGAUUAAGUAUUACUAUGACGAAUAUCAUGGAUACUGGUUGGGCUUACGUGAAAUUAACAACAGAUGGGUGUGGACUGACGGACAUAAUGACACUCUUGGGUAAGAAAUUUUAAUUAAAAGUGAAAUAAACACAAGAAAUAACUAAGAUAAAACACCGACUGUUUGUCGUCACCUUCCUAAAAUAAUCACCGAAAUCCAUUUUUUGGGGAAAAACUUGAAUGAAUGUUUAAAUCAAGAUUAAAUCCACCUGGUCAGAGUUUAUAUUGAAACCAAAUAAUUAGAAAAUUGACCAGAGGUGGACAGAGCAGACAAAACGUUUACUCAAGUAAAAGUACAAAAGUAUUUGGUAAAAGUAACUGAUUAAAUUACCAA